UAAUCCGAGAUGAAUACAGUUUCUAUAACGGACUUGAAUUAUUCAAUGAUCUGCCAAACGAAAUCAAACAGUGGCGCUGAAUGUUUUCAAAGUAUUUUGUGGUAAUUUUGAUUCGGCAUAAUCGGACAUAGAGGAUAAACGAAAAUUUAAUGUCAUCAUGUAUCGGACGCGCAGACCUAAGCGAAUAUUCAAACGAUCUCCAUAUAAAGUUUGAAAAGGCUUAAAAAGAUUUUCCACAACGAAGCAAACAAACGAAUGAAUGGAACUUGAAUCUUUCAUAUGCAUCUUGCAGAAGUGAAACAAAAAUAGAACACACAUAGCACCAGAAAAAAAGAACAUUGAAACCUUCUCUAUCAAAACGUCUUUCAAAUUUUGGUUGUCGUUCAUAUAGAAUCGACGGCGACAAUGGUAAGAUAACCAAGCAA